CUCCGUCCCGCCCGGGCUGCUCGCCCCGCCCCCGCGCGGCGCUGGGAGGCGGGAGCUGUCUCUGAGAACCUGCGGGAGAGCGCCCGGGCUUGCUGCUUCCCGGACCCGCGCGUCUCUCGAGCACCCUCGUCCCACCACCUUGUGAGGCCGUAGUGUUAUUUUUAUUUUUUAGAUCAGCAGACUGAGACUCGAGGUGACGUCACUCCGCAGAGAGGUUAGCUGACUUGAAGAAAACGGGUAUCUCCUCUUUCCAUUUCGCCCGUGUAAACAGCCGAACUGCCUAUUAUAAAAGCAUGGACUGCCAGCAUUGGAGUGGUCCUUAGAGGCCUAUUAUGAAAUCAUAGAAUGUCUGCAUUGGAAUCGCCUCACCUCCUUUUACCGCUGGAGAAGCCGACGGACAGACGGGCAGCGACCCCCGCCGUCGCACAACCCGUCUAGGCAGAGAGCGCAGGAGACGGGAGGGCGGCAGGGACACAUCUCCCAGCCAAGGACCUCCUGGGCCCGCAGAGGCCGCGACAGGUUCCCCCCACAGAGGGAACCAACUCUGCCGCAGGUUAGAGCACAGCAGACUGAGCCACCCAGAACUGGCCCCUCCGGUGGACCAGCCCCUGCGGAUUCACAGACCACUGGUCCUGGAAGGGACCUUGUCAAGCAGGCCCAUAAGGUAAUCCCUCCCCGGAAAGAGAAGAUCACAGAUUUUGUCAUAUUAAAUACAUUGUAGAAAUUCAUGGUAGCAGGGGCAAGAUCAUUUAAACAAAACAGAAAGUUUCAGAGAGAGAAAAAGCCAAGGACAAAGAUUAAUCAUUUUUCUGCUUAAAAAAAAUGGCUUUGAUUUGCAACCAUGGAAUGCUCCACUGUUUCUCUUCUCUUCAAAGACAUCUACUGAAAGGAUUCCUUAACCUUACCAAGUGGCCAAAAUACUUUUCUGAGAAGAGUCACAGAGCAUAGGCCCCCCUAGGGUACACAGAGAUUUCAUUAGUCCCUAGAUGUUUCCUGAUCCUUUUAAAAACUGGUUAAAUUCAGAGACUCUAGGCAAUUACUUCUUUCAGAACCUGUGAGGCAAAAACGAAAGAAGAAGGCAGGACACGCAGUGUAACAAACCUUGGAAUGGACUUCGCCAGACUUCAUCAGAAGAAAGCAGUGCAAGAGGGGACUGCAGAGGAAAGCUGGGGCUUGGGAAACCAGCAGCAGGGGCCACGUGGGCAGGUGGUUUCUGUGUGAACCUCUGAUCUGUGCAACAUAAACAGGAAAUGUUGAAGGCUUCCAGUGCUCUUUUUUGAUGUCGAGAACAUUCUACGGCACAAAAGAGUUUGCCUCUCACUGUUUCUCAUAUAUGGAGGUUUUCUAAUCAGCAUCCUGAACAGAAUUGAAUUAAAAAUAAAAACCAAAGUAAAACUAGC
rnacentral:lncRNA from 1 species